rnacentral:rRNA from 1 species
CAGUCGCCACGGUAAUACGUAGGUGGCAAGCGUUGUCCGGAAUUAUUGGGCGUAAAGGGCUCGCAGGCGGUUUCUUAAGUCUGAUGUGAAAGCCCCCGGCUCAACCGGGGAGGGUCAUUGGAAACUGGGAAACCUGAGUGCAGAAGAGGAGAGUGGAAUUCCACGUGUAGCGGUGAAAUGCGUAGAGAUGUGGAGGAACACCAGUGGCGAAGGCGACUCUCUGGUCUGUAACUGACGCUGAGGAGCGAAAGCGUGGGGAGCGAACAGAAUUAGAUACCCGCGUAGUCCCUGUCUCUUAUAC